rnacentral:rRNA from 1 species
AUUGAACGCUGGCGGCAUGCUUUACACAUGCAAGUCGAACGGUAACAGGCCGCAAGGUGCUGACGAGUGGCGAACGGGUGAGUAAUGCAUCGGAACGUGUCCAGUCGUGGGGGAUAACGCAGCGAAAGCUGCGCUAAUACCGCAUACGAUCUAUGGAUGAAAGCGGGGGACCGUAAGGCCUCGCGCGAUUGGAGCGGCCGAUGUCAGAUUAGGUAGUUGGUGGGGUAAAGGCGCACCAAGCCAACGAUCUGUAGCUGGUCUGAGAGGACGACCGGCCACACUGGGACUGAGACACGGCCCAGACUCCUACGGGAGGCAGCAGUGGGGAAGUUUGGACAAUGGGCGCAAGCCUGAUCCAGCAAUGCCGCGUGCAGGAAGAAGGCCUUCGGGUUGUAAACUGCUUUUGUACGGAGCGAAAAGGCUCUCUCUAAUACAGGGGGCUCAUGACGGUACCGUAAGAAUAAGCACCGACUAACUACGUGCCAGCCGCCGCCGUAAGAC